UCUCGCCUCUCUUUGACGUCACGGGGCGGGGCAUUCUUCACCAGGUCGCAGAUCCUCUGGCGUUUCUGAAUGCCCGCGCCCAGCUUUUCUCAUACGGUCCUACCAGCCCUGCAGGCGAGGGGUGGGGGUGGGGGGGGGUGCUGUUGCCAGGCAGAAAAACCGUCUUCAAAAGAACCCCGAACCAGCAUGCCCCGCGUUGACCCCUCCUCGCUAGGAAGCACGCAGCCCCUCUCUCCACUCCCAGACCCAAGGCUUCUGGAGUAAGAUCGCAGUACCGCGCGCCGUGUCCAUGGCGACGGCGCUUGGGGAGGGUAGUGGGAGGGACAGAGCUCGGGGCCUGCAGAGCCCCAGGAAUCACGUGCCGCUUUGAGGCCUCGCCUCACCAUCUUCCUGGUGGGCUUGCGCCUUGGUCCUGCGGCGGAGACGGGGCGGAGCCCGGAGACAGACACUGCAGUACAGCUCUAGCGCCGGGGAAGCUGCGAUUCCCGGCCGCCGCUCGUGGCGGCGGCCGACCGGGAGAGGACCGUGACUCUGCUCCGGGGAGCUGUGUUCACUGCCCAGUGUGGGGAGUCCAAGUCCUGGGAUGGCGAGCAUCAGGGGAUUGACAGUUGGUGAUGUUCUCUAGGCCUAGAACACCUGGAGAACCUUUGGAAAGGCCACAUCUGUACCCCAGGUUUGAGAAGAGGCCCCAGAUUCAGCUAUUCUUCCUGCAGGACAAGCUGAGCCUUGAUGAUUUCCCUGCCUGUGGCUGGCACUUUGUCAACAAGGCAGACAGGCCCCCCCUUUGAAAGUGGAGGAUGCUAAAGGUUGCUGGGUGGAGCCUGCUGUGGGCUGGUCUACAGCUGCCACCUUGACCUCUUAGCUGCAGCAGAAGUGGGGAGCCAGCCCUCACUAUGUGGAACAGACCACCCUGAGGGAGCUGAGGCUGAACAACCCCACUUUACCAGCUGCUGAGGAGAGGGAGCCAGCCCAUCCUGAUGGCACCCUCCCCUAUCCACCCCAACAGUGACACAGACACAUCCCAGGAUCAGGGAAACCCAGGCUCCAGUCAGAAAAAAUAGCCUCUGCAGCCAGUCAUUACUGGGUAACCUCCAGGGUGGCAUGGGUGGGGGUCUCUUGUCUGGAGAGCUGGAGGAGUACCUGCUGGGGGAGGGCCUGCCAUCCUGGCCAUUACCACCACCACAAGUGACAUGCAGUGCCCUGGAACUGGGCAUAUCCAGUUCAAGCCAGGCCUUCCCUGUGACCUGGAACAAGCAAAGAAGAGGUCUGACUGCUCCCUCACCUGUGGAGUUCCCAAGCCCCAUCUGACUGGCUCUAGCUGCAUUGUCUCCCUGGCCCAUCUUGUGCUGACCUAGAGCCCCUCCUUAUCCCCUGAAAUUCCAUCUGGUCUUUUGCCUUCUAGCCAGGAUCAAGCUGAGAUGGGUUCACAAUGGCUGGGCUCCAGAUCCAGAGGGUCAGCUCCCUCCCUGCCUCUAUGUAAGAGCCAGGAGCACACAAAGGCUGCCCCCCUGGAGCUUCCCAAUGAUCCCUCCCUCUUUAGUGUGUGACUCCCAAAGUUUCCAGGCUCAGGCCUUCAGAGUGGCAAGUGGAGAAGUCUCCUGUGGCAGUGAUCCAGACACCCCUGCCAUCUCCCCUUCACUCCCUGUGUCUCCAGAGGGAAAGGCCUCAGUUUGAAGGGGACAUGACCCCCAAAGGUCCCCAGGGCCUGCUGCUAAUUGGGCUUCUUUGUGGAGGAUGCCUAUCUUAUCAGGCCCAAAAGGAAUGCCCUUGAGGAAAGGAAGAAGACUCUGGCUGACACCUGGAUGUGGCAGAGGCAGCAGCUAGUUAAGGCCUAGAAGUGAAACUUGGAGCAUUGUCCUGGUGUUUGUCAGUUACAAGAUUUUGUGGUUUUCUGACUGGGGUCCAACAAGCAAUGGUGGAAUGAGAUGGAUUCCAGGGCACUGUCACUUAGAAGGAAGGAAAGAGCAAAGGAUGGGCUGGGGGGAAGAGCUGUUGACAGUGACAUGACCCAGAGCUGGAUCCCCAGCACCUGAGAGGCCAGCCACCUUGCCAUCUCUUCCUUUCCUUCCUUUCUGUGUCUGAUUACAGCCUGACACAAGAAAAGUUACAUAAAUCUUGGUGGUCCUCAAAUACCUCCAUCAGCCCCUGGCCCAUGGAGUCAUGAGGCUCUCUGAUUUGGCCUAAGCUAAGUCAUCCACUCUUAGGGGUGGGAUGCUUGCUCCUGAAAGAGGUGUAUUAUCCAGGCUCCAGAGGCAAAGCUGGCAUGGAUGGCAGCAGAACGCAUCCUCUCUGCUGCCCCAGAUUGGUCUUGACUGCCUCCCAGCAGGGCUGCAGCAUCUUUGUCAAGAACAUGCCCAUGGGAUCCUGGGUCAUCAUGUUGUUUAGAAUGUGGGGUCCUUGUUUCCUUUCCAAAGCUAAGAGUCUCUGGUUCUGCCCUUCCUGGUUGUGUGUGUCACGGAUUUUUGCAGUGGAUGGACAAGUGUUGCCUGCCUGCAUCCAGAGGUCCACACAGGAGCUUGGAGGCCCUGCUUCUGGACCCUGGAUCUCCUGGAUGAGGGAUUGAUACUGUAUAUAUGAAUACCUUUUCUGUACUGAUCUUGUUUGUUCAGACAGAUCUGUACAUGUGGUCGAAUGCAGGGAUUAUUUGUCCUUUUUUUCCCCAAGCCCCAGAAUGUUCCCCAGUGGCUGGCCUGUAGUGACUGCUUUGUAAAUGCUCAUUUAUUUUAGAGGCAGCUGGCUGUCCCAGUGGCUAGAGUGCCAGACUUGGAUUCAGAGAGACCUGUCUCCAAAUCCUGCCUCAGUCAUGCAGUAGCCAUGUGACCCUGGACAAGCCUCUUAGGCUUUCUCACCUCUGCUUGCCCAUCUGUCAAAUGGGCAGAAGGCUAGCACCUCCCCCAUAGGGUCAUGUGACAUGCCAUAUGUAUAUUGCUUUGCAUACCUUAGACUGCUGUAUAAAUGCUAGCUACCAUGAUUAUCUUAACUGUUGCUGAACAGAAAUUCCCUCAGUUCUCUCCUGAGCCAGAGAAGCUCAGUAGACGCAGAUACCUCAAAAGGGUUUUCUUCCUUUCCCUCUGAAUCAUGUAGACUUGGUUCCAGAUGGGUCCCCAGAGGUGGGAGACUGAAGGGGCAGUGGCCCCCUCUCCUACCUGGCCUUCCCUGGCCAUGGCAUCAUGGCUCCCCUCCCCCCUGUUGUUAUUGUGUCUGACCUUUCCUUGUCUUCUACCCAGAAUCCCCUGGUGCAUUUGUCAAGGCCUGACAGUGAGUGGGACAGCUACCCUGUUCUCAGCAACAGGGGCUGAGGUCAGAGCAAAAUUCUGUGUCAGGCAGGGUAGCCCCCAGCUUGACCACGUGGAGAGUACUGCCCAUGGUCCAAUGAUGGAGUGUUCCCACACCAGGGUUUUUGAUUUUGUUUGGUGUUCCCUUUGCCUCCCGCCCAUGACUCUGGGUCUGCCAGGAGGGUCUCCGGUACUUUUUUUUCUUUCUUCUGUAUAUAAGGUUUCCUUUGAGUCUUCUUCUGACUGUAUCAUCUCACUCCCAUUUAAUACCAUUCAAAGAGGCUUUAUUCAGGGCCUCCUCUGGGUCCAGUGCCGGGGGUGCCAAAAAUAUUUUCAAAAGCCUUCCCUCACCCCAAGGAGCUGGGAGGAGAUUUGUUCUUCCCCUCUACUCAUCAUCCAUGUGGAAAUUUUGAACAGGAAAAGACCUUAGAGGCAAGCUAUAUAAUUUGACCCCUUCAUUGUAUGUGUGUGGAAAGUGAGGCCCAUGUGAUUAGGCCCUUUUCCCAAGGACAAGCAGGUCAGGAAAUCUUUGAUUGAUUCCUGUCCUCUGAUUCCAAAUAGAGAUUUGGUUCCCUACAGGAGAAUGGGUCUCCCUCUGGAGGCUGAAGGUAAAUGUUAUGGGAGCUUGGCCCCAGAACAUUGGGACUGCAGCUGCCCAUCCCUGCUGUGAGCACCCCAGAAGUCUCUGCUGACCCUUAGGGAAGGGGUAGGAGCUGUUCCCUUUUCCAUUCCAGAUUCCCCCAGACACAGAGGUGUAUCUGGGCAAUCCAUGAAUAAAGAAAAGUCCUCCUUGGGGAAAGGGCUACCCCUGCUUCCCAAACCCUUUCCCUCUUCCUGUUGCCUUCCCUUUUUGUCCCUCCACAACUGCUGUCUGGCCAAAGGGGGCCCUUCUCCUCCUCCCCUUGGAGAGCUUGACCUAGAGACUAUGGAACUUUGAGGUCCCUUGUUCUUCCAGCGUUGUGUGAUUGAUGCUUGCCUUCUGACAUAGUAGAGGGGCUUGUGGAGAGCAAGGGCUGGAUGUUCUCAGCCUGUUUGCAGAUCUUUGGGGGCCUGCUUCUAGCCAAGUGAGACUCAUCCCUGUGGGCUGUGUGUUGUAAAUGGGUACUUUCCAUGUAUUUUCCUUCUGUGUACUGAGGUAUAUAUGUUAUCACCCACAAGGGAAGGUUUGCUGUUUCUCUGUGUCCCUGCCAUCUAGCAGCUGGUGUAAAGCUGGGAGGGCUUAAUCAUUUUUUAAUCACUUGUUAAUUGUUUAAAGAUUCCUUUUAUUGUCUGCUGAAGCAAAAGCUCAGUAGAAUCAGACAGUGCAAAAGGGCUAUUUUCCUUCCCCACUGUGAAUCCCGCAAAGUGGUUCCAGCUGGGUCCCCAGAGUUGGGUGGGAAAGGGGGCAAUGUCCUGUUUCCCACCUAGCCUCCAUGUGGCCACAAGGCCAUCCCUAGUGUGUGGAUGUGAGUGUGUGUGUGUGUCUGUGUGUGUGAGAGAGUGAGAGAAGUAUGUUUGCCACCUCUGAGUGGGUGUGUGUGUGUGUGAAUCUUAGGCAUGGUUGUGUGGGUGUGUGUGUGUGGCAUGUGUUUGUGUGGCUGUGUGUAUCCUUUCUUAAUCCUAGGUUACUAGGAGAAUCUUAAGCCUCCAGCAAUUGGUUCGGUUUAUGGAUUGCAAAAGAUAUAAAUAUUAGAAGAGGCCUCUGGAUGGAGCACUUGUCUUUUCCUCGAGCUGACAGUGUUACUUGGCCAGGAAAGCUAUAUUGGAGAAUAUGGCCCCUGGCAACAUGUCUCAGUAAACCAGGGCCCAGCAGAGAUGAAGUCUAACCUAAAAACCACUUUCCCUUUGGCCUCCUCAUGUAUUGUAACUCUAUGGUGUUCAUCCCUUGAGUGUGUGCAGUGAUUCAUGUGUAGCUACACCUUUUCCGCCUUGUUUGGAAUAAAGGACUUGUUCCUCACCCA